rnacentral:rRNA from 1 species
UUCCAGCUCCAAUAGCGUAUAUUAAAGUUGUUGCUGUUAAAAAGCUCGUAGUUGAACUUCUGGCUAUUCUUCCAGCUGGCUUCGGUCGCUGUAAGAGUGGUCAUCCGCUUGGGAACUACGUUCGAACUUCACUGUUCGGCGUAAAGAACAGGCAUUUUACUUAGAAAAAAUUAGAGUGUUCAAGGCAGGCUAUCGCCCUGAAUACACAAGCUUGGAAUAAUGAAAUAGGACUAUUUCCAUUUUAUUGGUUAUUGGAAUUAGUAAUGAUUAAUAGGGACAGUUGGGGACAUUAGUAUUUAAUUGUCAGAGGUGAAAUUCUUGGAUUUAUUAAAGACUAACUUAUGCGAAAGCAUUUGUCAAGGAUGUUUUCAUUA